GAUGAACGCUGGCGGCGUGCCUAAUACAUGCAAGUCGAGCGAACAGAUGAGGAGCUUGCUCCUCUGACGUUAGCGGCGGACGGGUGAGUAACACGUGGAUAACCUACCUAUAAGGCUGGGAUAACUUCGGGAAGCCGGAGCUAAUACCGGAUAAUAUAUUGAACCGCAUGGUUCAAUAGUGAAAGACGGUUUUGCUGUCACUUAUAGAUGGAUCCGCGCCGCAUUAGCUAGUUGGUAAGGUAACGGCUUACCAAGGCAACGAUGCGUAGCCGACCCGAGAGGGUGAUCGGCCACACUGGAACUGAGACACGGUCCAGACUCCUACGGGAGGCAGCAGUAGGGAAUCUUCCGCAAUGGGCGAAAGCCUGACGGAGCAACGCCGCGUGAGUGAUGAAGGUCUUCGGAUCGUAAAACUCUGUUAUUAGGGAAGAACAAAUGUGUAAGUAACUAUGCACGUCUUGACGGUACCUAAUCAGAAAGCCACGGCUAACUACGUG
rnacentral:rRNA from 1 species